CUACGGGGUGCUGCAGUAAGGAAUAUUGCGCAAUGGAGGCAACUCUGACGCAGCCAUGCCGCGUGCAGGAAGAAGGCCUUAUGGGUCGUAAACUGCUUUUAUUAGGGAAUAAACCCUCGCUCGUGAGCGAGGCUGAAGGUACCUAAAGAAUAAGCACCGGCUAACUCCGUGCCAGCAGCCGCGGUAAUACGGAGGGUGCAAGCGUUAUCCGGAUUUAUUGGGUUUAAAGGGUGCGCAGGCGGACUAUUAAGUCAGUGGUGAAAUCCCGGGGCUCAACCUCGGAACUGCCAUUGAUACUGAUAGUCUUGAGUUUGGUUGAAGUAGGCGGAAUGUAGCAUGUAGCGGUGAAAUGCAUAGAUAUGCUACAGAACACCAAUCGCGAAGGCAGCUUACUAAGCCAAAACUGACGCUCAUGCACGAAAGCGUGGGGAGCAAACAGGAUUAGAUACCCCAGUAGUC
rnacentral:rRNA from 1 species